AGGAGAGAAUUGAGAGGAUUUGCGUGAGUAUGAUGAAUCAGUGGUGAGGAGAAAUUGUGUGUGAAAUGGUCUGAGAGAGUUGAAGAAUCGGCGUGAGUAUGAUGAAUCAGUGGUGAGGAGAAAUGGCGUGUGAAAUGGUGGAGAGAGUUGAAGAAUGGCGUGAAGUGUGAGAAUGAAAGUAUUGGAGAUUGGUGAUGAUGUUGAAUGAAGAGAGCCUCAGAAAGAGUUAGUGAACCUGUUAUGUGCCUUUAAGCUUGAUGAAAAAAUCAAUCAGUUAGAAUUUGUUACAAUUCGGUUACAUGUUAGUUGAUUCCCCCUUUUUGUUAUUCCAUUUUUCUUCUGUUUAAUUUUUGUAACCACCGAUCUGUUAUAUCUGAUUUAGUUUGUUAAUAGAACCUUGAACUGGUUUUGAAUUACGCUGGAAUACGGAUUUUGUUCUCUGCAGGGUUCAGCUUGGUUCUUAUGGACCGAACCGGUUUUGCCGUUUGUGGUGUUAAUUUAAUUUGAAGCUGUAAUUUCGGUUUAUCUGUUAAUAUGCAGGGCUCUUUUUUAGUAUUGGCGGUGCAAAAUUGUGCGUGUGUGCAGGGCUAUUGACUUGUUUUAAGUUUGGUUUCGACGCGUGCAGCUUGGUUAUCUUGUGAACCAGGGGCAGUUUAGUGUAGAUUGUGUAUGGGAACCGUUCCUUUUGCGGCAGAAAUCUUUUUUGCUGAGUUGAUGGCUCGGUUUGGUUAAGGCAGAAUUUUGCAUUGAGUUGAUGCGGGAUUUCGGUUCCUGUGCGGAACUUGGUUUAUUCUUUGUGCAGGGCUGCUUUUCUGAACCGAUAUUGUAAUUUCGGUCCGACUUUGCUUGGAUGCAGGUUCGGUUUAUUUUGUGAAUGCGACUCGGUUUUGUCGCAGCUGGUGUUGAAGUUAUACAGGGAUCUUUUCUAUUGUUCCAUCACUUUUGGUGGAUAUAUAAUGGCCAUUGGCAGUUGAAGUUGUUAAGGUGUAGGGUUCAUUUAUGAAUUGAAUUUUUGGGCAUAUGUUUGGAUUGGAAAUUAGGAGAUGUCAAUGUCAUGUAAUUUUCUCUUUUGUAGUUUUGUGUGAUUCUGAAUGUUAAACGGGAAGCUUUGUGAUGAAAGCUUUUCGUGAUGAAUUUGUAAUGGUGUAAUGUAUUGGACAUUGUAUUUUGAUGGAACAUUGAAUGAAUGUAUAAUUCGUAGGUUGUUCAUGGUUCGGUUCUGUAAGAAAACUAAAUUGAAUUGAACCAUUAUAUUUGGGUAUCCAUUAUAUAAGGGUAUCCGAAUUGUACCGAACCGUUUCAAUUUUUUUAGAACCAAACUGAACCAAAAGUUUUGGUUUGGCAUAACGAUUCGAAAUUCCGAACCGUACCAAACAAUUAGAAGACAAUUUUGUAAACCGAAUCAUUUACUAGAGAACCGAACCGUUAUACUUAGUUUUGAAUUUUUUUAAUAAAAAAUUUUAUUUAAAUUUAUUUUUAGCAUUUUUUUAAUAUACUAUUUUACAUAAUUUUUAACUUAAUUUUUUUUAUCUACAUUCAUAAUCAAAAUCCAAAUUAAUUCAAAAGU